rnacentral:rRNA from 1 species
UACAGAGGGUGCGAGCGUUGUCCGGAAUCACUGGGCGUAAAGGGCGCGUAGGCGGCCUGAUAAGUAGGGGGUGAAAUCUUGCGGCUCAACCGCAAGGCUGCCUUCUAAACUGUCAGGCUGGAGCACGGUAGAGGCAGAUGGAAUUCCCGGUGUAGCGGUGGAAUGCGUAGAGAUCGGGAAGAACACCCGUGGCGAAGGCGGCUCUCUGGGACGGUACUGACGCUGAGACGCGGAAAGCGUGGGGAGCGAACAGG